AGUGAACGCUGGCGGUAGGCCUAACACAUGCAAGUCGAACGGCAGCACAGUAAGAGCUUGCUCUUACGGGUGGCGAGUGGCGGACGGGUGAGGAAUACAUCGGAAUCUACUUUUUCGUGGGGGAUAACGUAGGGAAACUUACGCUAAUACCGCAUACGACCUACGGGUGAAAGCAGGGGAUCUUCGGACCUUGCGCGAUUGAAUGAGCCGAUGUCGGAUUAGCUAGUUGGCGGGGUAAAGGCCCACCAAGGCGAAGAUCCGUAGCUGGUCUGAGAGGAUGAUCAGCCACACUGGAACUGAGACACGGUCCAGACUCCUACGGGAGGCAGCAGUGGGGAAUAUUAGACAAUGGGCGCAAGCCUGAUCCAGCCAUACCGCGUGGGUGAAGAAGGCCUUCGGGUUGUAAAGCCCUUUUGUUGGGAAAGAAAAGCAGCAGGUUAAUACCCCGCUGUUCUGACGGUACCCAAAGAAUAAGCACCGGCUAACUUCGUG
rnacentral:rRNA from 1 species